AAAUGAUGAAGUUACUCUCCACAACAUCCUUCGGAUGUGUACCUGUAUUAGUGCAUGCUUAUCAGUGCUUUAACAUAUCUUAUCAACAACGAAAAAGCUAUAGGAUUUAAUAUAAUUCUUCGAUUUGGGAGGAUAUCAUUUCCUGCUUGGAUAAGGAUGGCCAAAGCAGCAGGCCCCCACAUGAUCUGGAUAAUACAAGGACAAGCAUAUAAAUGAUUGUCGCUCACCCCACUUAUGAUGCAUGUGAGAAAGAUACAGGUCUAGUAGAUGCAUCAAGAAGGCUAGAACCUCAAAAGGAUAGCUGACAAAUUGUAAUUUCCAAUAUGGCAUAUUUACUUUUACUACAUGGAAAUUCAAGACUUCUAUCUAUUGUUGUCAAGUGGAAGGACUGAUAUUUAAGAGUUUUUUAAGGCACGCAGAAAGACUACUUCUCAAAAACAUCACUACACAUGAGAGCUAUUCGAGCAGUCAGUCUACCAAUUAGAAGCUCAUAGAAGGUGGCAAUUAGAAACUGUGUUUUUAAAUUUGUACCUUACUAAACACUAUCAUUCUCUGUUUCUAUGCUUUUGUAACAGUCUUCAUAUCCUAUUACUCAAGAUUCCAAUAUCUCAAUAAUGGAUACAUUAGCAUCAUUUUAAACGUGUACACUUAUGCUUGCUACAAUCAAAUAUCACAAGUCUGUAUCAAUGUUUCAUUGAUAAUGAUAACUAAUAGGUCUUGUUACGGAAAAUACCUUCUGUGAUACUGCAAAUGCAGCCUGUUCAGGAGUCAUGUUGUCAAAUGGUGUCAAUGCUGUUAAAAGCUCCCAAAGAACUAUGCCAAAACUGUAAACAUCAACUUUCUUCGUAUGGUGUUUCUCUUUGAUCAUUUCAGGUGCCAUCCAACGGUAAGUGCCCGUGAAUCCCUUUGCACUGCCGCACUGUGAUUCUAAGCAUGAGAUGCCAAAAUCUGCAACUUUCACAGACAUAUCUUCCCCUAGCAAUAGAUUUUCUGACUUGAGAUCCCUAUGAAGUAUACUUUGAGAAUGGAGAUAUUGCAUCCCACGUGCAAUGUCGAGGGCUAGCUUCACAACUAGGCUGAGUGGAACAGAAUGUGGCUCCUGCUGAUGUAGAUAUUUUCUCAACGAUCCCCCGCACAAAUACUCAGUGAUAAUGCAGAAAACAGGAGGUUUCUUACAAGCUGCAACAAACUGCAGAAUAAAAUUGGUACACGAAGGUCAGAGAGCACAAAGGGACAGCUACCGUUCCAACAUCAACAAGUUAAGAGGACUGAUUCCAAUUUUCCAGAAUAUAUGUGAUACCAAUAAGACAGGUAAGAGAUGCAAAUAGUUUCUCCACACUGCCAACCCAAAUAUCAAAAAAACAUACUCAGCCUAAUAGAAUUUAUUAAGAUGGAAAGCUCUUAAGCAGGGAAUCUGUAACAAUCAAUCAAUGACUCAACGAUGACUCGUGCAUAUGCCUCAGGAGAUGAGCAUCUCUCUAACAUUAUGCAGAAGCUUUUUCUAUUGCUUUCUUUCAGAAAAAUCUUAGCGUGCAAGGUUAAACUUAAAAGGCAUCAAGGAACUGGGGAAGGAUCUUUGGUUUUCAAUAGACCAAAGAUUACAAAAUUAAGCAGAAGCAGGAAAAUUGAAAAAGUGCAUGUCCAUUGACCAACAAAACAUAAACCAGGACCACAUUCUUCUUUUCUACAGAGCUGAAAAGGCAAGCAACAACACCAUAACCUAACGAGAGAGAGAGAGAGAGAGAGAGAGAGAGAGAGAGAGAGAGCAUAACCAUUAACCAUUAACCAUUGUGGAAACAGAGCUUACAGAGAUGAUAUUUGGAUGGUGCAGCCGAAAGAGCAAAGCCACCUCAGAAGUGAACUGCUUCUCAAGCAAAACAGCCAAGCCUUCAUCCUCCUCAGGCUGGCUUAUGAGCUUAAUUGCCACAUCCCUCUGCUUAUAAACCCCUCUGUAAAUCCUACUGUGUCUCCCUGAAGCAAAUUUACACCCAAUGUACAAUUGGGACAUGUCAGCACUCCACUCCUCCUCCCCUUCACCCUUAAUCUCAGCCCCUGAAGACACCAAAUACUUUGACCAUGACACUGCCCUGUUGUACUCUCCAAGAGAGAGCCUCCUCUCAGGUUUGCCAUUGUUGGAAAUCUGCUUAAACCAGUGAAAAUUCUUCAUGGGUCAGAGCCAAUACUCAUCAAAACCAUAAAAUCUCAACCCCUUUCGGACUCUUCAAGUCACAAAAAGCCUCCAAAUUUCGUGCAAAUCUUGAAUUUCAAGAUGACCCACUACGGAAACAAGUACAACUUGCAAGCUUAAAGUAUUAUUUUUCCUCAUAAACCUACAUUUCGAAAUCAUCGAUUUUCUUGCACAAUUUUAAAAACUUUUCAGAUAGAACUACAAAAUCAAAGUACAGAAUGGUUUGAUGAAGCAGAAGCUGAGAAUAAAGUUCAUUUUUUUCAUGCCAAUAAACAUGUUUUUGGCCAAAAGGAGGAGUCUUUGUUCAAAAAUCUCAAAUCUAUAUAUUCAGACAAAAAGAACUCAAGGAAACAGAGAAAACCACCAUUUGAAUGGAAAAAAGUAGUUCUAAAACGAAGGUUUUUGAGUUUCCAAGGCCAAAACCACACAUGGGUAUUGCAAAGUGAAAAGAAAAACCUGAGGUGGUGAAGGCUAUAAUAGUUAAAGAGAAACUAAAUGAGAAAAAGUUGAGAGCUUGUAAUAAUGCGAAGCUAACAAACAAAAACAGGGGAAGACUGUAGAGAGAGAGAGAGGAGAAUGAGUCGGUUGAGUUAAGUUGAAAUGGGUUGUUGUUGUUGUUGGAGCAGUGAAAGCAUAUGCAAUGAAGGAGCUGGCUCUUCUUCUCUCAUCUCUCUCUCUCUCUCUCUCCCCCCAUAAAACUCACAGCUUCUCUACAAACACCAUUCCUAACGUGCGAAGAUCCACUUCUGAGGGGACAAACUGGAUCCUUGUUGAUUAUGACCUCUACCUAUCUGAAUUUCCUUUUUUACCCUCCUCUUCUCAUUUUUACCUCUUUGCCUUUUAGACUUUUUGAGUUGUCUUCCUUGCAUGCCUAUCCCCCUUUUACUCUUUGGAAUGAGCAAACUAAAAGACCCCAAAACUGGCCUUCAACCUGCCCUUGCACUAACCACCUAGUGUUCUUGGGUUCGAAGGCCGGUAACGCAUUCUCUACAAAACCCAAAAACUUUUCUUUCUUUCUUUUUUUUCCACAUUUUAGUGAUAAUAUCCUUGGUUUUAAAAAUAUAAAUAAAAAUUAAGGGGUGAUAUUGGAUUCAUAUGAAUAAGUGAAACAUAAUCGAUUGCAAAAUGUUGAAGUUUAUUUUAAAGUUAGUAGCAUUACUCAUUAGUAAUUUGUUUGUUUAUAAAUUUAGAGGAAAAGAUUACUAAUUGAUAAUGUAUUGACCAUAAUUAUUUUUUUUAUGUUGUCAUCAACUUAUGAUGACUACACAUAAGUUACCAUUUUAUUCUCAAAUCGUUGUCCCUCAAUAACUUUUACCAAUAUACAAAGUUCAACACAAAGUAGUAAUUUAUGUCUUUUGGUGUUUUAGAAGAGUGACCGUAGGAUACGUGAGGAGGCAAAAUUUACUUUAAAAACAAAGUCUUGGUGAGAUUGGAUUACUUUACUUAUGCUUAAUUUUAUCAAAGUAAUGCAUUAGGGUUGAAUUUUAAUUAAUUUUAAAAGAAUAAAUUAUUUUUAUCAUUGAAGUUUUGAAGAAGAUCACUCGAGAAUUGUUGAGCAAAUUUAAAAUGUAUCUCCUAUUAUGAUACAAAAAGUAAGAAACUAGAAUUCAUCCAUUUUGUAUUCCUUUAUUUAAAAACAAAUGAUUAGUUAUUUUUAAUAAAAGAAACACAAAAUAUCAUCCAACAUAAAAAAUAAAAAUAGUAUUCAUCCAUUUUGUAUUUCCUCAUUCAAAUAUCAAUGAUUAGUUCUUUUAUGGUAAAAGAAACACAAGAUGUCACCCAAACGUCAAAAUAAAAAAUGAGCUUCGACAACACAACCAUGAACAACUACGCGCCAACUCCAAGGCUAGUUCGGUCCCUCGAAAUUUCACAGAAGGGCAUAUUAGUCAUUUCAUUCGAAAGGGACACGUUACAACAUAAAUAGAAGAGAGAGAGACCGAGGAGGAGUAACGUUAUGGCUGAAAAGCAGGUGGGUCCUAUGCCCACACAGAGCGAUCCGUGGGUGUGUCGGAUAAGCCGUAUGGUCCUCUUCCGUAUACGGUCUCUCUCUCUCUCUCUCUUCCCUUUUUUUAUUUUUUUUUUCUAAUUAUUAUCGACGAGCUUUGUCCUAUUUUUUCUGUUUAAAUAAUUUUAAAAUGAGAAACAAAACAAAGAAAUAAAACCCACCCGCUUGUAAAGCUCGUACGGUGCACGCCGACCAUGACCUAGCUAGCCAACUCUGUCUAGGUUGACACAGACAAAGAGGUACAGCUAAAACUGCACCCACACAAGGUACAAGGCUACAAAGCCUGCAACCAUUUCAAUGUUGGGAUCCGACUUCCUUACAGUUUACAACUUGGCUGGGUCCGAAUGUGUCUGGUGGGUGGAUCCAUUUCCAAUCAAAACAAAGUCUAAUUAUAUCACCCCAAAAAACAAAUUAAUUUGUUAUCAUUCAUUUAUGUGACAUGAUAUCCCAACUCAUUUGAAUCCAUACAACAAGGCUUCAAUAUUAAAAACAUGUUGGAGACAAAUUCCUUGCUCACCCAUAUAUCAUAUAUGCCAUAUGAUACAUUACUAUAUUAUGUUUAAAAUUACGUGAAUUAGGUUAAUUAAUCAUAAAUAUGAGUCUAUCUCGUCUUGCACUUUGAAUUCCUUUUCUUACAGAUUAAAUUAUGUUAGAAUAAUUUAGACCAUCAUUUGCAUUAUAAUUAAUUAGUGGUGUUGUUAUGUUGGCUGAUGAUGUAUUAAUUAUUUUGUGGGUUUAGAAGAUUAUCAUCAAGAUCUACCUUCCAUUGAAGAUCAUCUCUGCAUUAAUUGGUAGGUUGGCAUGCUGUACAACUGAUUCAUGAUUAAUUUUCAGUAUCAGUUAAGAUAUUGUUAAUUAGGUUGGUUUUCUAAUCAGGAGUUGGAAUCUUCUAGAUAACUAUACACAUAAUUCAAUCUGUAUAAUAAAAUAUUAAUUCAACAACCCUUGAGUGUAUUUUAGGUGUCAACUCAUUGUCAAGGGUCAAAAUUCCAAAGUGAUUUCAUAUUAAUUGUAUAUUAGCACAUCACGGUAUCGAAAAGAGAUAACAUCUUAAUUAUUUAUUUUAUUGAAAAGAAUCAAAGGGGGGCCCCUUUUAUUUAUUUAUUUAUUUAUUUUUAUUUUAAGCUUUUUUGUAGCACAAAUUUGGGGUGGUGCACAUGCGAUCCGUACCUUGGAAACAUUGAUGAAAUUAAAAUACCACGUGUCCAUGUUAUGUAGUACGUACCAGCUCAGAUUCCAUAAUUUAGCCAAAACUUGUGGUACAGAAUAUAUCCUUAGGCCGUACUAAUUAUGGUUGGUGUGACUAAUUAGAUUAUAAUUAGAAUAUAUAAUUAAUUAAUUAUCACAAAUGACAAAGUUUGGGUGGUGUAAAGUAUAAGCAUAUAUUAUAUUAUAUUAUAUUAUAGACGGACGAAAUUGUUUUGAUGGGUAUGUGAUGAUAUUAUUAGGGUUGCAUGAGAUGAGAUUUGGAUUUAUUGGUGGGGUUUUAUGGAUCGGAGGGCUGAGAUUUGAUGAUGAUGUGCAUGCAUGGAGAUGAAGAUGGAGAUGGACAAGCGAAUGUGAAGGGGAGAAGAAGAUGAUAGAUUGAGGGAGGUUGACUGCUUCGUUAGAAAAAGACGGAUCUGAGAGGGAAUGUUUGUCAUCUAGUUCCGUUUUGUGCACUGCAUCAACAUGGCUGAU
rnacentral:lncRNA from 1 species